rnacentral:snRNA from 1 species
GUGCUUGCUUCGGCAGCACAUAUACUAAAAUUGGACCAAUAGGGAGAAGAUUAGCAUGGCCCCUGUGCAAGGAUGACAAGCAAAUUCGUGAGCGCUCUCACAUAGUU